rnacentral:rRNA from 1 species
CAAUAGCGUAUAUUUAAGUUGUUGCAGUUAAAAAGCUCGUAGUUGGAUUUCGGAUGGGAUUUGCCGGUCCGUCGUUACGAUGUGCACUGGCCCGUCCUAUCUUGUUGUCGGGGACUAGCUCCUUGGAUUCACUUCCUGGGACUAGGAGCUGACGAGGUUACUUUGAGUAAAUUAGAGUGUUCAAAGCAAGCCUACGCUCUGAAUACAUUAGCAUGGAAUAACACGAUAGGACUCUGGCUUAUCUUGUUGGUCUGUGAGACCAGAGUAAUGAUUAAGAGGGACAGUCGGGGACAUUCGUAUUUCAUUGUCAGAGGUGAAAUUCUUGGAUUUAUGAAAGACGAACUUCUGCGAAAGCAUUUGUCAAGGAUGUUUUCAUUAA